CUACCAUGCAGUCGACGCUCCAUCUAUGGAGAGUGGCAGACGGGUGAGUAACGCGUGGGAACCUUCCCUAUGGGUCGGAAUAGCCCAGGGAAACUUGGGGUAAUACCGGAUAAGCCCUUCGGGGGAAAGAUUUAUCGCCAUUGGAUGGGCCCGCGUCGGAUUAUCUAGUUGGGGGGGUAACGGGUCACCAAGGCGACGAUCCGUAGCUGGGCUGAGAGGAUGAUCAGCCACACUGGGACUGAGACACGGCCCAGACUCCUACGGGAGGCAGCAGUGGG
rnacentral:rRNA from 1 species